ACUUUCCUCUUUAUAGGACUGGGUGGUUUGGAUGCUUUAAAUGAUUAAAAACAAAGGACCAGUUUCUUGCACGGUGCCACUCGCGUUGUUCUGCUUUAGAAACUACAGGACUAGAGUGGAAAAAAAACAAAAACAAGCAGAAACUGGAAAGCGAACAGGAGCAGGAAGAUGUGACUAACACACCUGCAUACCGCCUACCAAAUCGCUUUGAAUUUCCACACAAUCUAAACGACGGCGGACUUCAGCUUCCACACGGCAUGUCAAGAGCUUUUGCUUCACUACUCUGGUUUAAUUUCUAAAAAAACACAGGGUUUCACAGUUAUGGCCAACUGCUUAUCCCAGGCAAAUUAAAUUAAGCCCCUGGCAUGCAACUAAAAGUCUGUUUCGCCUAAUUGAGCAGCUAAUGGGUAUGGAUGAAUUUGAGCUACAGAUAAAAAUAUUGUUUUCAAAGAGCCUUUCUGAUUAGCAUGAUCUGAAACAGGCAAAGAAAAAUAUUUGCAGCCAUUUUUAUAAGCCUGUUCAAAUCCAUUCGUUAGGCUCAGGGAAGAUCUUAAAGGGCCCAGUCCUGUCUUUACAUGAAGUGAGCUGCUCAAGUGCUGAAAGAGGACUAAAACCCUCUACUAAACACAUUCUGACAUUCUGCUGUACCCACACCCAGCCAGUGGAAAAUGUGCCUCUGUGGAAAAUGUGGAAAAAUGUGCUCUCCCCAUUAUCAGCUUGCGUCUCCACUCGAGGACUGUGUGUCUCCAUUCCGAUGAAUUCCGCUAUUUCAUCACAUAAAUGGCCGUAGUGCCACCGUGCCACUGAAGGAACUAUCAGGGGCUUACAGCAGCGAGGAAACGAACAGCUGGGGAGCAGUCUCGGAAAUACUAACCUCCUGGAACUCGUUGCAUUCGACUUCUAGCCUUCUGCUGUGUUUGCCUGGAUGGUGCUGAAUGUCAGGGCAGAUGGCCAUUUAGCCCUAUGAAUCUCCUUCUUCAUUAUUGUCUUUUAAAAAUAAGCUUUCAUCAACAGCAAAACCAAUGUAUGUAUUAUUUUCUAUAGCUUAUAAUUAGAAAAGAAAUGCAAAAAGACAUCAUGCUUAUAGAACUCAGUUUAAAAUAAGUCGGUUAAAGAAAACCUUAGAGACAAGCUAUUUUACAUGACGGCUGUCCCCGUGACAAAGAUGCCUCACCGUCAGCCAGUAUUCCUGUACACACACAUACAAGCCUCUGCGAGCCUCGGGUUUGUCUGUUUGUUCUUCAGUUCUCAUUUUCUUUUGAGCUCUCCUGCCCAUUUAUAAUGAAAGAACAUGGGUAUUGCGUCGGAUACAGAAGGUGCACAGAUUAUGACCCAGAAGCUACCUUCCCUGAAAACUGAAGUCAGGCUGUCCUGGGGCUAAUUCUCCAGCAAAUGCAUGACUUGAUGGGCCUCUUCCACUGGCUUCACCUGGCCCACAGGUGAAUGGUCACAUCACGGUUACACGGAGCAAUUAAUCGUACCGUUUCCAGUACAUCCUGGACCUUAGGUGAGCUCCUGCUAGAAACAUUCUGUAUCCAAGUAACCUAGUUCCCAAACCUUGGUCCAGAACUGACUGUCAGGGAUGCAGACGUCACCAUCUUAAUAUCAUCUGGCCCCUCUUUUGCUGAGGUAGGAGCAUAGCGUUUGGCAGACACUUUCAAAUUUCAGAACUGUCAUGAAAUUCAGUUGAGAAAUAUCCCCCAGCCCCACCUCAAAUUCACACGUUCAAGUCCUAACCGCCGGUGCCUCAGAAGGUGACCGUAAUUGGAGACUGGAUGUUUACAGGAGAAAUCAAGGUAAGGCGAGGACACAGGGUGGGCCCUACUCCAACGUGACGGGGGCCCUGGAGACAGGUCCAGAGAGAUGGGGGGGCGGCAAAGACACAGGAGAGGGCGGCCAGCUACCAGUCAAAGAAGGAAGCCGGGACAGACCGUCCAUUCACAGCCCCGGAGGAGCCGUCCCAGCGGCCUCCAGAGCCACGAGCAAGUACAGCUCUGCGGUUUACCACCUAGUCUGUAGCACUUCGUCGUGGAAGCCCUGGAAAACCAACACGGAUAAUCGUUUAGAAGCCACGUCCCUUGCUCACGAGAACGAGACUGACCUGGAGAGGCGCCCACGUCUACCAACAGAAAUCCCCCACUCUGGGUACUGGACGGGAUUUAAACACGAAAUUCCAAUUUUUUGUGCUGUCAGUC
ensembl:lncRNA